rnacentral:lncRNA from 1 species
UGUUUGAGUUGUAUAAUGUUACCAGAACAUAAGACAAGUUCAGAACUAUUUUAAAGAGAAAUUUAUAAAAAUCAUGCAAAUCACAGUGCAACCAAUGACGAGGAGAUAAAGAAGUAGGGGGUGAGGAGGAAUGGGAUAGAUAGAGUAAAGCAAGUGGAGAGGUUACAGAGGAAGGUGUAAGAACAUAUUAGACAAAGGAGAAAGGAGUACAUCAGGCUAGCAGCAGGUGUAUGCACAGAGAUAGGAGGUAGCAGAGAAUGGAGUACCAGGGGAGAUCACUAAUAUUCAUGCCAUGCACUUGGAGAACUUGAGGCAUAGAAGCUGGGUAGCAUUGGUUCAAAUGCUCACGCCUUGAUUUGGAAUGUGUUGGAUGAUGUAGAGUCUCCUUGGGUUCUUGCUUAGGGUCAAUUAGUCAUUAUAGAAUCUUAAAAUCAGCAGUACUAUAAUGCUGGUUCAAUUUUGUUAAUAUUUUCUUAAGUUUUUAGAGUCAGAGGUAUUUUUGUAAUUUUCCAUAUUUUCUGGACAUAGGUUGCCAUAUGGUUCAUAGGUCAUAUGUUAGGUCUAUUUAUGUUUUGGAAUUUUAUUUAUGGUCUUUAAUUAGGUUUUGUUGCUGGAAAUUGGACCCGGGGGCCGCCGUGAAGCCGGGGAAGGAGGAGCUCCGCUGCUGCGGGAGGCGGACGGCGGUGCNNNNNNNNNNNNNNNNNNNNUUCGGCCGAGCGCCUCCGUGAAUGUAUGGCUUGGGGUUCUUCCCCCAACAGGUUUUAUUAGUCAAAAUUACAGAUUUGUUAUUUGGAGUCCAAGUCCUAAUAGGAGUAUUAGAACUUUGUAAAUAGGGAUGUAAUCUCUCAUUAUCAGAAGGCAGUUAAAAUUUCAGAUUUAUUUUAAGCAAUUAUGCUUUAUUUUGGAGUUGUGUGAUGCAAUUUUAACCCUAGGUGUGAUGCCUACAAGAUUCUAGGUGUGAUGCCUAAAAAAUCUCUCUUUUCUUCUUCUUUUCCUUUAAUUACAGCAUCCUAAAAUCUCAAAUUCAGAUUUUGAUUCCAUCCCCACAAAACCCUACCAACCAAAAGCAACAAAACCAGUAGCCACUCAUCCAUCAAUUAGCCUUCGAUUUGACAAAACAAACAAAUUUUCAUUCCUGUUUUUCUACCAGCUCAUAUAAGCCCCCAAAACUUCAUCUCUUUGCCUGUAUUUUGCACCCAAAUCGCUCCAUAUCCAUGUCCCAACAUAAACCUUAGCUUUUUACACGAUUUUCCUACCCUUUUAGUCCAAAAUAACCCAUUAAGCAUCCCUGAAUUUUCCCUAAUAAAGGCUGUCCUACAUCAGUAAGAUAUACCGGUAGCAGGACACCUUACUUGCAUGUAAACUUGAUCUAUGAGGGUGAGAAGGCACCACUAAUACAUAUACUUUAACCACGUAACUCCCAUUUGAUACAUUGGCAAUACUACAUGCAGUUCAUGAAUUGCAUUUCUCCAUUUACAGAUGAUAAAGCCAUCAGCAUCAAACAAUCAUUAAAAGAAAAAUCCAGAUUAUGUUCUUUGUACCU